GGAGAGCGAUCAGCUAGUGGUCUUGGCACUUGGCAGCGUCGGUGGGGAACCGGAUGCCGGAGACCCAGGCGGAGGGCAUCUUUGGUCUCCGGCGUCCGGUUCCCAGGCGGCGCUGCCAAGGGCGGCGUUUUUUUUUUUUUUUUGCUUUUUAAUGAAGAACGGCGACCUAACGGAGGAAGGCGGACGUACCAGCUUCUCCACAACCGCCACAGCAGCACCGCCAUGGAUUCAGAUUUCGAUUUUCGUGAACGAGUACAACGGUGAGUUCACCCGGGGAUGAGAUUUUGCGGACAAUCCGUUGCAACGGAACGGGGCCUUCCGGAAUCCUAGGAUUCUGGUGGGUAUGGUACUGUGUUUAAUUAAUUGGAGUUCAGUGGUGAGACAUGUCCACCUGUCAUGCACGACAUUCCGUACCGACGUGGCGGUUUCAGAUCUUUUUCGCGCCGGAAACCGGAUUCUAAUUUCCCCCCUACACGUCAAUGACGUGUCUGGGCCUUUUUAUACGAACAAAUAAUAAUGGCCUUUUUAUACGAACAGAUCUUUUUAUUUGUAGUGAUAUAUUUUCCACUCCCAGUUUGUUGAUCUAACUGCUGAUUAACGAAUUAAUUAGAGAAGAAUGGACGGUAGUUUAAGCAACCGGAGGAGAAAAUAGCAAGCCAGUGGCAUCUUUUGUCGUUGGCUGGUUAAUUUUUCAGCUCUUUCUGGACACGGACCUCUUAUCAAAAUUUAAAAUCUUUAUUAGUAGUUGAAAUCAUUUCACGUUUUUUAUUGUAAAUUAUUAUAGUGGAAAGACGAUCUCGUCCUUGCCAUCAUGAUUUAUGACGCUCAAGAACAAAGGGCAGAUACGUCAAGUUGCCAAAGCGUAUAUAAUUAUUAAGAAUUAACAAAGGGAAGGAGGUAGGGUUGCGUGGAAACGCGACGGAUGGCAGAUAGCAGAGGGAGCGGAAAUAGGUGCUUGCUAGGGUUUCGCUUUUCUACCUUUCCUCUUUUUUUGGUUUCUUAACCCAUAAUAAUUCGCCAUAUUCUCUUUAUAACAGGGAACACUUAGCCCACUACUCAAAUUGCUACCGUCGAUCGACAUCCCUUCUCCGCUUCACCUCGCUCUCUCUCUCUCUCUCUCUCU
rnacentral:lncRNA from 1 species